rnacentral:lncRNA from 1 species
AUGCCCAUGUGGUGUUCUAGCGCUGCAGGCAGAGGCUUAACCUACUAUUCCACAGCUCCAGUCCCUGAAGCCCAGUCUUGCACUAAGUGUCGAUGGACCAGGAGGAAUUUCUCCUGUUCUAGCAGAGAGAGGACACCGUGGCCAUGCACUCACACACACAAGUCUGACCUGGAGCAGAGGCCACUUACCGCGGGCGUGGAACAGAUGCUGCUCGGAGCCUGGGGACAAGGUCAGCCAACCCAGAUCCAGCACUUUGAGUCUCCCUGGGUCUCCAACUGCCCAUCCAUCUCUUUUGGCUGGGAGCCCGGGGGUCCAGGGUAUCCUCAGUGAGAUCUCCUGACCCUGUGGUCACUCAUUGCCAAACCCUGUCCCUGCUGAGGCGCCAGGCAAAGGUAUUCAUGCAUCUCAAUUCUAGCUGCACGAAACGGGAGGAGAGCCUUCCCUGUGGAUGCGCACGAAGCAAAGCUGCCCACGGUGCUGUCCCUGGCCAUGGUGAGGGCCAUCUCGUGGUUUGGGCUUGGGCUUUCCUGCAGUGGCCUCCCUGGUGGUCUCUCUUUUACUGUCUUGGGAGGGCUGGGAAGGGUGCUGGUCUCAGGGGUGGUCCUAUCUCUUCAGGCAUGAGGACCUCAGCUUGAGACCACGCCUGUGCUUUCUUAUCUCUCC